GUUCUGUGGAGCACUAUGGGGUGGUAUGGGGUACUAUGAGGUUCUAUGGGGCUCUAUGGGAUCUAUGGAGUUCUAUGGGAUGCUAUGGGGCACUAUGGGAUUCUGUGGGACGCUAUGGGGUUCUGUGGGGCACUAUGGGUUUCUAUGGGGCUCUAUGGGAUCUAUGGAGUUCUAUGGGAUGCUAUGGGGCACUAUGGGAUUCUGUGGGACGCUAUGGGGUUCUGUGGGGCACUAUGAGGUGUUAUGGGGCUCUAUGGGGUUCUGUGGGGCGCUAUGGGGUUCUAUGGGGUUCUGUGGGGCACUAUGAGGUGUUAUGGGGCUCUAUGGGGUUCUGUGGGGCGCUAUGGGGUUCUAUGGGGCGCUGAGUUCCUUUCCCCCCCCAGCUGUUCAUCACCAUUAUGGACAAACUGCGCCUGGAGAUCCGCGCCAUGGAUGAGAUCCAACCCGACCUGCGGGAGCUGCUGGAGACGAUGAACCGCAUGAGCGCCCUGCCCAAGGACUUCGAGGGCCGGCACCACGUCCUGCACUGGCUGCAGACGCUGAGCUCCAUGUCGGCUGCCGACGAGCUGGACGACUCCCAGGUCCGCCAGAUGCUCUUCGACCUCGAGUCCGCCUACAACGCCUUCAACCGCUGCCUGCACGCCUGAACCGGAGGAGGAACCAGAACCGGAACCGGAACCGGAACCGGGACUGGGGGAGUCAAUGGCAACACCGCAGCACCACCGUGGCACCAAUGGAAACAAUGGGAAGAAUGGAACCGGUGGAAGCAAUGGAAGCAGUGGUACCGAUGGACCCAACGGAACCAACGGAACCGAUGGACCCAACGGAACCAACGGAACCAAUGGUGUCGAUGGUACUGAUGGAACCAAUGGAACCAAUGGUAUCGUUGGUACCAAUGGACCCAACGGAACCAGUGGACCCAAUGGACCCAACGGAACCAAUGAUACCAAUGGACCCAAUGGCACCAAUGGACCUGAUGGAACCAACAGACCCAACGGAACCAAUGGACCCAACAGAACCAAUGAUACCAAUGGACCCAAUGGCAGCAAUGGAACCAAUGGAACCAAUGAAAACCAGUGGCACCAAUGGACCCAGCAGAACCAACAGACCCAAUGGACCCAACGGACCCAAUGGAACCAAUGGACCCAACGGAACCAAUGGACCCAACGGAACCAAUGGAACCAAUGGACCCAAUGGAACCAAUGGACCCAACGGAACCGAUGGAAGCAACGAACCCAAUGGUACCCAUGAACCCAAUGGUACCAAUAGGCCCAACGGAGGCAAUGGCACCAAUGGACCCAAUGGAACCAUCAGACCCAACAGAACCGAUGGAACCAAUGGUACUGAUGGUACUGAUGGACCCAAUGGAACCAACGGAACCAAUGAAAAUCAGUGGCACCAAUGGACCCAACGGAACCAACGGACCCAAUGGAACCAACGGACCCAAUGGACCCAACGGAACCAAUGGCACCACUACAUCAGUGCGACUCACCGUCACCAUCACUGCUGAGUCAACGGCACCAGAACUGUAACCGGAACCAGAACCAUUGGGUCAACGUCACCACCAAGUCAACGUCACCGUCACCACUGCAACACCGUCACUGUCACCAUCACUGCUGGGUCAACAGCACCAGCACCGGCACCGGCACCAUCGGGUCAAUGGCACCAUUGGGUCAGCAUCACCACCGGGUCAACGGCACCAUUGCAACACCGUCACCAACCAGAUCAGUGUCACCACCACGUCACCAUUACCAUCGC
ensembl:lncRNA